CUGAACAUUUGCGGACGAGAACAAAUUAAAACAUUGCUCCGAAAAUUCUAACUAAUGCCUUUUCUUCGCCAAUCGACCUGAAAUCUGUUUAAAAAACAUGAAAAAUGAACCUUACCAUUAUAUAACCUGACGACACUUUCUUAAGACGCUAACUCUGUCAAGUAGCUAACAUUAACGGGCCAGCUACAGUUACGGUAGGCACCGUUCUGGGUCUGGUUUCCUAGAAACGGUGUAAAACCAUGUGUGAAACCAUGGACAUGUCUGAAACGCUUUAAGGAUGGCUUUAAGCCUAAUACCUUUCUCCUAGUGGUUUUCCUCUUAGCUGGCUGUGUCAGAAGUGUUACCCAAUCAGCAGCGACGUGACAUUUUGUAAAGACGAGGCAUGAGCAGACAAGCAGGAAAUACCUGCAAUCUACAGUCUCUCAUAGAAGACUAAUAAAGCACAUUGACCUGGACCUACUUCAUCAGUGCACGUCAUGGCAAAAAGCAGAAUAAGCAGUCUUGCAGGACAGCAUGGAUGAACUCCUUACACAGAAGGCCCAGAUUUAUGGCUGUGGCCAUAAGCAGGAAGGGACUCCACUGUCCCUGAUUUAGCCUGACUCUGUUUGAGAUUAUGAUGCUAAUCCUCUCAGCUAAGGCUUUUGGGGUACUUUUGGAGUUUGCUGAAGAGGACUGACUCUCAGCCUCAUGACCGAUAUCAUUUUGAUUGACUGAUUGUUUAUUUUUUCUUCCUCUCCUCUACUCAAUAGUGCCAUUACAGUGUGUCAAUAAGAAGUGCCACAAACCGUGUAAAUAGGUGAUCUUUAUAAAACCUGAUGGUUAUUUUCUAGCGGCUCCUGACAGACCUUUUUCACUAAGUUGCAUUUUUGCCCGAUUUGGUUUCUUAGCGAAACAUCCUGCUGAAAAGAGCAGGUCCUAAAAUACUGUAAUACUGUUGAUAGCUGUCUGAACACAGCAGUGGGAAAUUAAAGACUUGGAGCUUAGCAUACAGCUAGCCCUGGAAAGUGGUUAUUUUUUUUUUACUAGUUGACCUACACCAAUCAGUUGGCGUCACCAGCUGAUUGGCUCACUGAAGCAGUGAUGCCAUCACAUAGUUAGAGUACACCAAGUGUGCCAGAUCUAGAGCCAUUAGGCUAUUCUACUUUUCUAGACUAUUCUUCUUUUUUUCUUUUUUUUUUACCAUAAGGGUUUUGUGUGGAAACAAAAUUCCUAUUCAAAAUGUAGAAACACAUUUAAUGUGCCACUAGAUGGCACAUUUGCUUUGCUUUAGUUUCUUUACAAUAUUUGUUAAUGGCCCCAUGCCAUUCAGUAAUUCUUGGGGCAAGUCUUGUGUUAUUGACAUGUGUUUGCUACUGUUCAUUAUGCCUAUUUAUUUAAGGCAUAGGCUAAACUUAUUUAGAUAAAAAUACAAUUUAAGAAAGACUGAAGCCCUGCAGAAUCAUUUAUUUAUUUUAAUAAUUUAUUAGACUGUCCUUUUAUUAGACAGGACAGCUGAAGAUGGGAAAGGGGCAAGUGACAAGCAACAAAGGGUCAAAGAUCGGAACUGAACUCAUGGCCACUGCGAUAAGGACUGAGCCUUUGUACAUGGAGCGCACGCUCAACCAAGUGGGCAAACCAAGCACCCUCACAUUUUUUAUUUAAGUAACUGUAAGCUUUUUUUAAGCAUAAUUCACUUCUUACAAAAAGGUUCUGUGCAAACCCAGCAGUAAAACACUGUUAACUCUGUUUUAGGCAUAUCAUUCUCUACAACAAAUGCUUGUACUCCGAAUGCAAAAUGAUUUGCUUACAGUAUUUAAGUAAGAUAGAAAUAAGCUUGAAAUGCGUAUUCAAUAUUUAUGAGACAUUGUGGAAAAUGUGUGGGUGUGUGGUAAUUCUUGAAAAUGUACCUGAUUUCACAGUUUUGUAUGAUUUUCUAGGCUGAACUUGUAACCUAGCAUAAUUCAAGGAAUCACAUUUCCCACCUAUCACUGUUCCAGCUUCUUAUUAAAAAAAAAAAGAAAAGUUGGAAAAAUCUGAUCCCAUUGAAUAAAUCAUCCUAAAGACUAACAAAUAUACAAAAUGUUGCAGUUUUACCCAUUUAAUUUCACUAGAUGGCAAUAGAGAACAUAAAAUUACAGUU